UGGGGAACAUUGCACAAUGGGCGAAAGCCUGAUGCAGCAACGCCGCGUGAAGGAAGAAGGUCUUCGGAUCGUAAACUUCUGUCCUUGGGGAAGAUAAUGACGGUAAUCUGUGAGGAAGCCCCGGCUAACUACGUGCCAGCAGCCGCGGUAAUACGUAGGGGGCGAGCGUUGUCCGGAAUUACUGGGCGUAAAGGGAGCGUAGGCGGUUAAUUAAGUUAGAUGUGAAAUACCCGGGCUUAAACUUGGGGGGUGCAUCUAAUACUGGUAAACUAGAGUACAGGAGAGGAAAGCGGAAUUCCUAGUGUAGCGGUGAAAUGCAUAGAUAUUAGGAGGAACAUCGGUGGCGAAGGCGGCUUUCUGGACUGACACUGACGCUGAGGCUCGAAAGCGUGGGGAGCAAACAGGAUUAGAUACCCUGGUA
rnacentral:rRNA from 1 species